rnacentral:rRNA from 1 species
GGGGGAAUUUUGCACAAUGGGGGAAACCCUGAUGCAGCGACGCCGCUUGAUUUAGAAGGCCUUCGGGUUGUAAAAAUCUUUUCUAUGGGAAGAAAAUGACAGUACCAUAGGAAUAAGGACCGGCUAACUACGUGCCAGCAGCCGCGGUAAUACGUAAGGGCCGAGCGUUGUCCGGAAUCAUUGGGCGUAAAGGGUACGUAGGCGGGUAAGCAAGUUAGAAGUGAAAUCCUAUAGCUCAACUAUAGUAAGCUUUUAAAACUGCUCAUCUUGAGGUAUGGAAGGGAAAGUGGAAUUCCUAGUGUAGAGGUGAAAUGCGCAGAUAUUAGGAGGAAUACCGGUGGCGAAGGCGACUUUCUGGCCAUAACCAGACGCUGAGGUACGAAAGCGUGGGUAGCAAACAGG